rnacentral:rRNA from 1 species
UACAGAGGGUGCAAGCGUUGUUCGGAAUUACUGGGCGUAAAGCGCGCGCAGGCGGGUCUGUAAGUCGGAAGUGAAAUUGCACUGCUCAACGGUGUAGCUGCUUCUGAUACUGCAGACCUUGAGACCGGUAGAGGUUGGUAGAAUUGCAGGUGUAGCGGUGGAAUGCGUCGAGUUCUGCAAGACUCCCCCUGGCGAAGUCUGCCAACUGGGCCGUUUCUGACGCUGAGGCGCGCCAUCCUGGGGAGCAAACAGG